CCUACGGGAGGCUGCAGUGGGGAAUAUUGGACAAUGGGCGAAAGCCUGAUCCAGCCAUGCCGCGUGUGUGAAGAAGGCCUUCGGGUUGUAAAGCACUUUCAGUGGGGAAGAAAGCCUUGGGGCUAAUGCCCUCGAGGAAGGACAUCACCCACAGAAGAAGCACCGGCUAACUCCGUGCCAGCAGCCGCGGUAAUACGGAGGGUGCGAGCGUUAAUCGGAAUUACUGGGCGUAAAGCGCGCGUAGGCGGUCUGAUAAGCCGGUUGUGAAAGCCCCGGGCUCAACCUGGGAACGGCAUCCGGAACUGUCAGGCUAGAGUGCAGGAGAGGAAGGUAGAAUUCCCGGUGUAGCGGUGAAAUGCGUAGAGAUCGGGAGGAAUACCAGUGGCGAAGGCGGCCUUCUGGACUGACACUGACGCUGAGGUGCGAAAGCGUGGGUAGCAAACAGGAUUAGAUCCCUUGUAGUC
rnacentral:rRNA from 1 species